UGCAGUCUGGAACUCUAGUGCCCCAACCG
rnacentral:piRNA from 1 species